rnacentral:rRNA from 1 species
UAGGGAAUCUUCCGCAAUGGACGCAAGUCUGACGGAGCAACGCCGCGUGAGUGAAGAAGGAUUUCGGUUCGUAAAACUCUGUUGUUAGAGAAGAACAGCGCAUAGAGUAACUGUUAUGCGUGUGACGGUAUCUAACCAGAAAGCCACGGCUAACUACGUGCCAGCAGCCGCGGUAAUACGUAGGUGGCAAGCGUUGUCCGGAUUUAUUGGGCGUAACGCGAGCGCAGGCGGUCAAUUAAGUCUGAUGUGAAAGCCCCCGGCUCAACCGGGGAGGGUCAUUGGAAACUGGUUGACUUGAGUGCAGAAGGGGAGAGUGGAAUUCCAUGUGUAGCGGUGAAAUGCGUAGAUAUAUGGAGGAACACCAGUGGCGAAGGCGACUCUCUGGUCUGUAACUGACGCUGAGGCUCGAAAGCGUGGGUAGCAAACAGG